UCCGCUGAGGUAGAGUUCGGCGCUGUCAUUGUCGGUGGGUGCGGGAAUCCGGUGUAACUCCGGAACGGUCGCGCCACUGUGAGCAGGGCCUUCGGGCCGUGCGAGUCAGACCUCCCCCGCCGCGCAGAACUCU
rnacentral:ncRNA from 1 species